UACGGAGGGAGCUAGCGUUAUUCGGAAUUACUGGGCGUAAAGCGCACGUAGGCGGCUUUGUAAGUAAGAGGUGAAAGCCUGGAGCUCAACUCCAGAACUGCCUUUUAGACUGCAUCGCUUGAAUCCAGGAGAGGUGAGUGGAAUUCCGAGUGUAGAGGUGAAAUUCGUAGAUAUUCGGAAGAACACCAGUGGCGAAGGCGGCUC
rnacentral:rRNA from 1 species